UNGGAUGUUGCUAGUCUGGCUCAUGAUAGU
rnacentral:piRNA from 1 species